GGGUCACCAUUUGCAGCGCAACAUGGCAGGAGCUGAAGGAGAGAAUAGUAUUCAGUGGCGUUUUCCUCAAGUGAAAGGAGCAGUAGAUGAUGAUGUAGCAGACACCGAUAUAAUUUCUACAGUAGAAUUUAACCAUUCUGGAGAAUUGCUAGCAACAGGGGACAAAGGCGGGAGAGUCGUCAUCUUUCAGCACGCACAGGAGAACAAAAUCCAGUGUCAUAGCAGAGGAGAAUAUGUUUACAUCACCUUCCAGAGCCAUGAACCAGAAGUUGACUACUUGAAAAGUUUAGAAAUAGAAGAGAUCAACAGAAUUAGUGGUUACCCCAGAAAAAUGCUGCUCAGUUUUUAUUGUCUACCAAUGGUAAAACAAUAAAAUUAUGGAAAAUCAGUGAAAGGGUCAAAAGACCAGAAGGAUAUAACUUUAAAAAGGAAGAUGGAAGGUACAGAGACCCGACUACAGUCACUACACUAAGAGUGCCAGUCUUCAGGCCCAUGGAUCUUACGGUGGAGGCCAGUCCCCGAAGAAUAUUUGCCAAUGAACAUACAUACCACAUCAACUCAAUUUCCAUCAAUAGUGACUAUGAAACAUACUUAUCAGCUGAUGAUUUGCAGAUUAAUCUUUGACAUCUGGAGAUUAUAGACAGACGUUUUAAUAUUGUGGGUAUUAAGCCUGUCAAUAUGGAACUCACAGAGGUGAUCACAGAAGUGGAAUUUCAUCCCAACAGCUGUAACACAUUUGUAUACAGCAGCAGUAAAGGAACUAUUCAGCUGUGUGACAUGAAAGCAUCCACCUUCUGUGACAGGCAUGCUAAACUGUUUGAAGAGCCCAAAGAUUCCAGUGACAGGUAUUUUUUUCUGAAGUCAUCUCCUCUAUUUCUGACGUAAAAUUCAGCCAUAGUGGUCGCUAUAUGAUGACUAGAGGCCAUUUAUCCGUCAAAAUUUGGGGCCUGAAUAUGGAAAACAGGCCUAUGGAAACAUACCAGGUACAUGAACAUCUCAGAAGUAAGCUGUGCUCACUGUAUGAAAACUACUACGUAUUUGACAACUUUGAAUGUUGUUGGAAUGGAUCUGAGAGUACGGUCAUGACUGGAUCCUACAAUAAUUUUUUCAGAAUGUUCAACAGGAACACAAAGCAAGAUAUAACCCUAGAAGCAUAACGAGAAAACAAUAAGCCUCGUACAGUUUUGAAGCCACACAAGGUCUGUGCAAGUGGCAAGUGAAAGAAAAAUGAAGUAAGUGUUGACAGCCUUGACUUCAACAAGAAGAUUCUUCACACAACCUGGCACCCCAAGGAGAAUAUCAUUGCUGUAGCUGCCACAGACAAUCUGUAUAUAUUUCAAGACAAAGGGAAUUAG